GCAACGCGAAGAACCUUACCAAGACUUGACAUGUCGCGAAUCUUCUUGAAAGGGAAGAGUGCCUUAGGGAGCGGGAGCGCAGGUGGCGCAUCCCUGUCGUCAGCUCGUGUCGUGAGAUGUUGGGUUAAAUCCCGCAACGAGCGCAACCCUCGUUUUUAGUUGCCAGCAUUAAGUUGGGCACUCUAGAGAGACUGCCGGUGACAAACCGGAGGAAGGUGGGGAUGACGUCAAGUCAGCAUGCCCCUUACGUCUUGGGCUACACACGUACUACAAUGCUACGGACAGAGGGCAGCAAGCUAGCGAUAGCAAGCAAAUCCCGUAAACCGUAGCUCAGUUCAGAUCGCAGGCUGCAACUCCUCUCUUGAGAGGAGGAAUCGCUAGUAAUUGCAGGUCAGCAUACUGCAGUG
rnacentral:rRNA from 1 species